rnacentral:rRNA from 1 species
GGUAGCUGGAUGAAGGUUGAACUAACUUAGCUAGUUUGUUUCUCUAAUUAGGACCUUUAAGUCAAGGUAAAAAUUCUUUGAUAGGCUAGGGGACGAUAAGACCCUAGAAGCUUAAUAAUAAGCUAAGGUUGUAGUUAUGCUAAUAAUUUUGUUUUACUGGGGCGGUAAAGGUGUUUAAACCACUUAGGUUUUAGCUGGUCCUCUAGAUUGAGAUAGUUUGGCUUAGUUACUCUAGGGGUAACAGUGCUAUAUUUUUGGAGAGACCUU